CAGUUCCUAGAAAUCUGUAUAACACUUUUUUUAUGAAAUAAAUACUUUCUAUGUAAUACUUUUUUAGGUGUGCCAGAAGGUUGAGGCCUCUGGGUUUGAAUUCACCAACUUGUAUUGUCAGUCUCCUUCCCACCGCAGCUAUCUGUAAGAGAGCAUGCUGCUUGGUUGCUGGUAAAACAGGAAAUGGGGUAAGUAAUUUACAUAGGGAAUUUUACUACCAUUUAAAUUUAAGCUACUUGAUUCUUAAAGUACUUUUACUAUUACUCUUUUUUUAAGAGUGAGUUCACUAGCUACUAGAGAAAUUGGCACAAAGAAAAAUUUUUAUUUUAUAUAUUUAGGUAUUAACCUUGUUUAACUGGUUUAUUGCACAGCAUAUUAGUAGUCUCAUUUUUUUGGUAGAUUUAUCAUGAACAUAAAUGUAUAUUUUAUAAUCAUUAGCAUUUAUAUAAUGUAGUUUGGCAGCUAAUGUUAAAGGAAACAUUUUAUGCUGGUCUUAGAAGCAAAAUUAUAAACCUAAUUAUGCUGUAAAAGAUACAUAGUAAAGUUCUAGUUAAGGCAGAACAACAGUAAGUUUAUACAUAGAUAAGACACAGAAAACAUAGGUUCACAGUCCUUUAUCUGAAAACCUUGGUGGCAAAUGUGUCUUGGAAUUUAGAAUUUUUUAGACUUUGGCAAUUUAAUACAGCAUAAAUACCAUAUAUGAUAUACCUCUCUCCUCUGGGGUAGUACUGUAUUAUCAAGCAUUAAUAUUUCUGCAGUGAAGCAUACCAAUAUUCACACCAAUUUGAUCAAAGCCUUACAUGUUCAAGUCAGAGUUUGGUUGCCAACUGAGA
rnacentral:lncRNA from 1 species